rnacentral:rRNA from 1 species
UACGUAGGGGGCAAGCGUUGUCCGGAUUUAUUGGGCGUAAAGAGCGUGUAGGCGGUUUGGUAGGUCCGUUGUGAAAACUCGAGGCUCAACCUCGAGACGCCGAUGGAAACCAUCAGACUAGAGUCCGGAAGAGGAGAGUGGAAUUCCUGGUGUAGCGGUGAAAUGCGCAGAUAUCAGGAAGAACACCCGUGGCUAAGGCGGCUCUCUAGAACGGUACUGACGCUGAGACGCGAAAGCGUGGGGAGCGAACAGG